rnacentral:rRNA from 1 species
GCUGGGUUUAGAACGUCGUGAGACAGUUCGGUCCCUAUCUGCCGUGGGCGCUGGAGAAUUGAGGGGGGCUGCUCCUAGUACGAGAGGACCGGAGUGGACGCAUCACUGGUGUUCGGGUUGUCAUGCCAAUGGCACUGCCCGGUAGCUAAAUGCGGAAGAGAUAAGUGCUGAAAGCAUCUAAGCACGAAACUUGCCCCGAGAUGAGUUCUCCCUGACUCCUUGAGAGUCCUGAAGGAACGUUGAAGACGACGACGUUGAUAGGCCGGGUGUGUAAGCGCAGCGAUGCGUUGAGCUAACCGGUACUAAUGAACCGUGAGGCUUAACCUUACAACGCCGAAG